AACCCAUGGUGAGGGCAUCUUCUCAAUAAGUCCUUACAUCUCUCCCAUGCAUCAUAUAAGAUUUCCAAAUCCAUUUGUACAAAGGAGGAGAUAUCAUUCCUCAGCUU
rnacentral:snoRNA from 1 species